rnacentral:rRNA from 1 species
UACGGGGGGGGCAAGCGUUGUUCGGAAUUACUGGGCGUAAAGGGCUCGUAGGCGGCCAACUAAGCCAGACGUGAAAUCCCUCGGCUUAACCGGGGAACUGCAUCUGAUACUGGAUGGCUUGAGUUCGGGAGAGGGAUGCGGAAUUCCAGGUGUAGCGGUGAAAUGCGUAGAUAUCUGGAGGAACACCGGUGGCGAAGGCGGCAUCCUGGACCGACACUGACGCUGAGGAGCGAAAGCCAGGGGAGCAAACGGG